rnacentral:rRNA from 1 species
CGGGUGAGUAAUGCGUGACCAACCUGCCCCAUGCUCCAGAAUAGCUCUUGGAAACGGGUGGUAAUGCUGGAUGCUCCAACUUGACGCAUGUCUUGUUGGGAAAGUGUUUAGUGGCAUGGGAUGGGGUCGCGUCCUAUCAGCUUGUAGGCGGGGUAAUGGCCCACCUAGGCUUCGACGGGUAGCCGGCCUGAGAGGGCGGACGGCCACAUUGGAACUGAGAUACGGCCCAGACUCCUACGGGAGGCAGCAGUG